rnacentral:misc_RNA from 1 species
GCAGGCAGAUCAAGUUUGUGGGAUAGACGCGGUGCAACUAUGGAAAAUUUAUUUGUAUAGCGGCGCGUAUUGCGAUGGAGGUGUGAGUUCUGUUACGUCAUGAGAACAGGAUAGAUGAAAAAGCGAGAAUACAGGAUGCGUUAAUUAGACAGUUCGGUUUAAAUCACGUAACUAGCGGGUCUUUCUUGUUGUAGAUAUAAGUUGGCGGGCAAGAUUUCAAUCAUAAACGAAAUAAAGAAUUCAGGCUUGAAAUUGGACUCGAUAAAUGAAUAUCUUUCGACAAUCGACCAACCGUAUAACCGGAUCAGAUAAUUGAUACAGUUGUUCCGAAGGCAGGAAAAAGCCUCGUUAGAUCAUCGCGAAGGCCUGCGGAGGAAAGCGCAUGGAAUAAAACUAAUAAUUUAAUAAAGGUGUACCAGAGGAAGAACUUGAUGACCAGGUCGUCCAGGUUCUCCACGGUCUCCCUGUCUCCCCGGUGAACCAAUUCCGUCAUUGCCGGGUGCGCCUGGGUUGCGAAAAAAUUUUAAUCAGGGGGAUCGUCAAUCCCGAACAAGAAUGAACGAUGA